CCCCUAGUAACUGCGAGUGAAGCGGGAAAAGCUCAAAUUUAAAAUCUGGCAGUCUUUGGCUGUCCGAGUUGUAGUCUGGAGAAGUGUUUUCCGCGCUGGACCGUGUAUAAGUCCCUUGGAAUAGGGCGUCAUAGAGGGUGAGAAUCCCGUCUUUGACACGGACUACCAGUGCUUUGUGAUGCGCUCUCAAAGAGUCGAGUUGUUUGGGAAUGCAGCUCAAAAUGGGUGGUAAAUUCCAUCUAAAGCUAAAUAUUGGCGAGAGACCGAUAGCGAACAAGUACCGUGAGGGAAAGAUGAAAAGCACUUUGGAAAGAGAGUUAAACAGUACGUGAAAUUGCUGAAAGGGAAACGCUUGAAGUCAGUCGCGUUAUGCAGAACUCAGCCUGGCUUUUGCUUGGUGUAUUUUCUGUAUGACGGGCCAGCAUCAAUUUUGGCCGCUGGAAAAAGGCUCUAGAAAUGUGGCACCUCCGGGUGUGUUAUAGUCUAGGGUCAUAUACAGCGGCUGGGAUUGAGGUCUGCAGCACGCCUUUAUGGCUGGGGUUCGCCCACAUUCGUGCUUAGGAUGCUGGCGUA
rnacentral:rRNA from 1 species